rnacentral:rRNA from 1 species
AAGUACAUUCUUACCGCAUAGCGUUAAUACACUGAAUCCCAUUAGAGCUCUACAGUUAAGCAUGCUCAGGCUAGAGUAAUACUGGGAUGGGUGAUCGCUCGAGAAUACUUUGUGUUUUACAUG